rnacentral:tRNA from 1 species
UAACUUGGCCAGUUUGGCAUAAAAAUCGACCAGUUAUGGACUGGUCAUGUGGGUGGCUCCAACCCGCCCCUAGUGGA